rnacentral:rRNA from 1 species
UUAGUGGCGGACGGGUGAGUAACGCGUGGGUAACCUGCCUUAUACAGGGGGAUAACAACCAGAAAUGGUUGCUAAUACCGCAUAAGCGCACAGGACCGCAUGGUCCGGUGUGAAAAACUCCGGUGGUAUAAGAUGGACCCGCGUUGGAUUAGCUAGUUGGCAGGGUAACGGCCUGCCAAGGCGACGAUCCAUAGCCGGCCUGAGAGGGUGAACGGCCACAUUGGGACUGAGACACGGCCCAG